UCCCUGGUGGCUCAGAUGUUAAAGAAUCCACCUGCAAUGUGGGAGACCUGGGUUCGAUCCCUGGUUUGGGAA
rnacentral:tRNA from 1 species